AGAAUUGUGUGAGGGGCCAAAGGAGAGCAUGCUCUAGAGACAGACAAUUUUCAGAAGUUUCGUAUGGGGAUGGUUUUAUAUAAAUUCAGGUUUUUCCCACAAUAAUAAAUGUAUUUAGUCUCAGUGCUCAAUAGAAGAGAUUUCUAAUAGAAAAGGAUUCAAACUAUGAAACCAUUUCUCUUUUAAUGUUUCACAUUCCUGUUACAGAUUUGUUCUCUUGUGACUCUGUUAUCCAUAAUAUGGACAGAUCUUGAGUCCUAACAUUGAGAGGUUUUCCCUCAGUGCAUAGAGGGAAUGAGUAUUAAUUGGAGAAGCUUAGAGUAUUGCCACUUUAGCACUGAAGAUUGGGAUGAGAGGAGGUGAAACCUCACUAGAAAAAGGGACAAUGUUAGUGUGGCCCUUCCUGAUCAUGUUUAAGAAAAGUCAUGAAAAUGGUGAACUAGUGUUUCCAAGCAUAUUGGAAGGGUUAAGUGUAUACUGUCUGUCAAAGACUUCCAGCAUUUCCAGGUCCUAGAGAGGAACAAGACUGCACUUGGAUUCAGCUUCUUCAUUUCCAACAUGGAAGAAACUUACACCGACUCCCUGGACCCUGAGAAGCUAUUGCAAUGCCCCUAUGACAAAAACCAUCAAAUCAGGGCUUGCAGGUUUCCUUAUCAUCUUAUCAAGUGCAGAAAGAAUCAUCCUGAUGUUGCAAGCAAAUUGGCUACUUGUCCCUUCAAUGCUCGCCACCAGGUUCCUCGAGCUGAAAUUAGUCAUCAUAUCUCAAGCUGUGAUGACAGAAGUUGUAUUGAGCAAGAUGUUGUCAACCAAACCAGGAGCCUUAGACAAGAGACUCUGGCUGAGAGCACUUGGCAGUGCCCUCCUUGCGAUGAAGACUGGGAUAAAGAUUUGUGGGAGCAGACCAGCACCCCAUUUGUCUGGGGCACAACUCACUACUCUGACAACAACAGCCCUGCAAGCAACAUAGUUACAGAACAUAAGAAUAACCUGGCUUCAGGCAUGCGAGUUCCCAAAUCUCUGCCGUAUGUUCUGCCAUGGAAAAACAAUUCAGAUUCUCUUGAUUUCAGUCUGUGCUACUGUUUGAGCUAAUUUUUAGGUGGCUAGAGGAUUCACUUUAAAACGUUUCUCCCUGGAUACUUGCAUUUCCCAAAAAAUGAAGUCACCAAAUUAUAUGUCAAAAGGCUUGAUGGAAAUGCACAGUAACUGAAUACCUAUCUCAUCAAAUGCCAGACCCUAGAAGACUCUUGCUUCUUCCUUCUACCAGUGGGUUCUCAUUUUCCUCCUAAUCUAAUUAUAGAAUGGUAAACUCUCUGUGACUUUCCAAACUGACAAGCACACUUUUUUCCUCCCCCCUUGAAUCCUCAUUUAAUGCAAGAACCCUCAUACUCAGAAGCUUCCAAAUAAACCUUUGAUACAGAUUG